rnacentral:tRNA from 1 species
UAUUAAAUAUUUGUCAAGUGAGUGUCCACACAAAUUAUUUAAAAUUACUGUAUUUAAAAAGUGUUAAAACAAGGCUUGUAGCUCAGCUGGUUAGAGCACACCCCUGAUAAGGGUGAGGUCAGUGGUUCAAAUCCACUCAGGCCUACAAACUUAUUAAUUAAAACAUUAUUUUUUUUAAAAAUUAAUUUUAAAAUAUUAAUUUUUAAAAAAAAUAAAGGGGCUAUAGCUCAGCUGGUUAGAGCGCCUGUUUUGCACGCAGGGGGUCAGCGGUUCGAUGCCGCUUAGCUCCAAAAUACAGUAAUUAUUUUAUCAAUAUAUUUUUAUUAUAUAAAAAAUUAUUACAUUUUAAGUAAAAACAGAUAGCUCAGGGUUGUAA